UCCCUGGUGGUCCAGUGACUGGGACUCUGCACUCUCAAUGUAGGAGCCUAGGUUGGAUUCCUGUUCAGGGAA
rfam:Ovis aries breed Texel chromosome 17, whole genome shotgun sequence.